ACGCUCGACACCUGGCAGCAGUGGGGAAUAUUGCACAAUGGGGGAAACCCUGAUGCAGCGACGCCGCGUGGAGGAAGAAGGUCUUCGGAUUGUAAACUCCUGUUGUUGGGGAAAAAGAGGAUGGUACCCAACAAGGAAGUGACGGCUAACUACGUGCCAGCAGACGCGGUAAUCUGAGCGGGCUGGCAAGGC
rnacentral:rRNA from 1 species